UACGAAGGGGGCUAGCGUUGCUCGGAUUGACUGGGCGUAAAGGGCGCGUAGGCGGUUCGUACAGUCAGACGUGAAAUUCCUGGGCUCAACCUGGGGGCUGCGUUUGAUACGUGCGGACUUGAGUGCGGAAGAGGGUCGUGGAAUUCCCAGUGUAGAGGUGAAAUUCGUAGAUAUUGGGGAAGAACACCGGUGGCGAAGGCGGCGACCUGGUUCGAUACUGACGCUGAGGCGCGAAAGCGUGGGGAGCAAACAGG
rnacentral:rRNA from 1 species